GACGAACGCUGGCGGCGUGCUUAACACAUGCAAGUCGAACGGAAAGGCCCUGCUUUUGUGGGGUGCUCGAGUGGCGAACGGGUGAGUAACACGUGAGUAACCUGCCCUUGACUUUGGGAUAACUUCAGGAAACUGGGGCUAAUACCGGAUAGGAGCUCCUGCUGCAUGGUGGGGGUUGGAAAGUUUCGGCGGUUGGGGAUGGACUCGCGGCUUAUCAGCUUGUUGGUGGGGUAGUGGCUUACCAAGGCUUUGACGGGUAGCCGGCCUGAGAGGGUGACCGGCCACAUUGGGACCGAGAUACGGCCCAGACUCCUACGGGAGGCAGCAGUGGGGAAUAUUGCACAAUGGGCGGAAGCCUGAAGCAGCAACGCCGCGUGCGGGAUGACGGCCUUCGGGUUGUAAACCGCUUUCGCCUGUGACGAAGCGUGAGUGACGGUAAUGGGUAAAGAAGCACCGGCUAACUACGUG
rnacentral:rRNA from 1 species